UACGAAGGGGGCUAGCGUUGCUCGGAAUCACUGGGCGUAAAGCGCGCGUAGGCGGAUCUUUAAGUCAGGGGUGAAAUCCUGGAGCUCAACUCCAGAACUGCCUCUGAUACUGGGGAUCUUGAGUCCGGAAGAGGUAAGUGGAACUGCGAGUGUAGAGGUGAAAUUCGUAGAUAUUCGCAAGAACACCAGUGGCGAAGGCGGCUUACUGGUCCGGUACUGACGCUGAGGUGCGAAAGCGUGGGGAGCAAACAGG
rnacentral:rRNA from 1 species